rnacentral:rRNA from 1 species
CCUACGGGCGGCAGCAGUGGGGAAUAUUGCGCAAUGGGCGAAAGCCUGACGCAGCGACGCCGCGUGAGGGAUGAAGGUCUUCGGAUCGUAAACCUCUGUCAGCAGGGAAGAACGGUCACUGUGCUAAUCAGCAGUGAAUUGACGGUACCUGCAAAGGAAGCACCGGCUAACUCCGUGCCAGCAGCCGCGGUAAUACGGAGGAUGCGAGCGUUAUCCGGAUUUAUUGGGUUUAAAGGGUGCGCAGGCGGCGAGUUAAGUCAGCGGUAAAAUUUCGGGGCUCAACCCCGACGAGACGUUGAAACUGGCUUGCUAGAGUGGGCGAGAAGUAGGCGGAAUGCGUGGUGUAGCGGUGAAAUGCAUAGAUAUCACGCAGAACUCCGAUUGCGAAGGCAGCAUACCGGCGCCCAACUGACGCUCAGGCACGAAAGCGUGGGUAUCGAACAGGAUUAGAUACCCUGGUAGUC